GCCCAUGUAGCUCAGUUGGUAGAGCGCAUCCUUGGUAAGGAUGAGGUUCAUCAGUUCGACUCUGAUCAUGGGCUCCA
rnacentral:tRNA from 1 species